UUAAGCAGUAAGAGCACAGGGAGGAUGCCUUGGCACUGAGAGCCGACGAAAGACGCGAUAAGCUGCGAAAAGCUGCGGGGAGGAGCAAAUAUCCUACGAUCCGCAGGUAUCUGAAUGGGGAAACCCACGCAAGGAAACCUUGCGUAUCCGUACAUGAACAAAUAGUGUACGGAGGGGAACCCGGUGAACUGAAACAUCUAAGUAGCCGGAGGAAAAGAAAACAAAAGUGAUUUCCGGAGUAGCGGCGAGCGAAACGGAAAGAGCCCAAACCCGGGCGCGAGCGUCCGGGGGUUCGGACCGCAAGAACUGAUCAUGAGCUGCAGCAGAACGCCCCUGGGAAGGGGGGACAGAGAGGGUGAAAUCCCCGUAAGCGAAGCGGCAGGUGACAGAGCGGGAUCCAGAGUACCGCGGGACACGAGAAAUCCUGCGGGAAUACGCGGGGACCACCCCGUAAGGCUAAAUACUCCUCAGUGACCGAUAGUGCACAGUACUGUGAAGGAAAGGUGAAAAGGACCCCGGGAGGGGAGUGAAAGAGAACCUGAAUCCCUGUGUUUACAAGCUGUGGGAGCACAAUGCCAUAGGCAGGUGCGACCGCGUACUUUUUGUAGAACGGUCCGGCGAGUUACGCCGUCUGGCAAGGUUAAGUGCCUAAGGCACGGAGCCGAAGUGAAAGCGAGCGUUAAAAGCGCGAAAAGCUACUUGUAGCUUUUUAGUCAGGCGACGUAGACCCGAAACCGGGUGACCUAUCCGUGUCCAGGCUGAAACUGCUGUAAAAAGCGGCGGAGGGCCGAACCCACAUCCGUUGAAAAGGGUGGGGAGGAGAUGCGGAUAGCGGAGAAAUUCCAAUCGAACCCGGAGAUAGCUGGUUCUCCUCGAAAUAGCUUUAGGGCUAGCCCCGUAUAAGCCUCACGGAGGUAGGGCGCUGAAUUUCCUAGGGGGCGUCAAAGCUUACCGAAGAAUAUCAAACUGCGAAUGCCGUGAAGGCGGUGUACGGGAGUCAGGCUGCCGGAGAUAAGUCGGGCAGCCGAAAGGGAAAGAGCCCAGACCCCCGGCUAAGGCCCCCAAGUGCGUGUUAAGUGGAAAAGGAUGUGGGAUUUCAAAGACAGCUAGGAUGUUGGCUCAGAAGCAGCCAUACAUUGAAAGAGUGCGUAAUAGCUCACUAGCCGAGAGGUCCCGCGCCGAAAAUGUCCGGGGCUAAAACACGCCGCCGAAGCCAGGGGAUGAGAUGAGAGAUCAUCUUGUCGGUAGAGGAGCAAUCUUAAAGGGAAGAAGCUGUACCGCAAGGAGCAGUGGACUUUUAAGAAGAGAGAAUGCCGGAAUGAGUAGCGAGAGGAAGGUGAGAAUCCUUCCGGCCGAAUAUCCAAGGAUUCCGGGGUAAAGCUGAUCUGCCCCGGGUAAGUCGGGGCCUAAGGCGAGGCAGAAAUGCGUAGCCGAUGGACAACAGGUGGAGAUUCCUGUACUGCAAGGCAACAGAACUGCAGGGACGUGCCGCGCGGACGCGACCGGGAACGGAAAACCCGGAGCAAGGCGCCAAGCUGCUGGGGAGGCAAAUCCCCCCAGGGAAAGCAAGACGCUUACGCGGAGCGAAAGAAAGUAGCGAAGAGCGCGGGCGCGGCACCGAGAAAAGCUGCUAUAGCUUGCCAUGCACCCGUACCGUAAACCGACACAGGUGGAUGAGGAGAGAAUCCUCAGGCCGACGGAAGAAGCAUCGUCAAGGAACUCGGCAAAAUGACCCCGUAACUUCGGGAGAAGGGGUGCCACAGCAAUGUGGCCGCAGAGAAAAGGCUCAAGCAACUGUUUAGCAAAAACACAGGUCUAUGCGAAACCGGAAGGUGAGGUAUAUGGGCUGACGCCUGCCCGGUGCCGGAAGGUCAAGAGGAGAGGUCAGCAGGACGAUUUCGUCCCAGCGAAGCCUUGAAUUCAAGCCCCGGUAAACGGCGGCCGUAACUAUAACGGUCCUAAGGUAGCGAAAUUCCUUGUCGGGUAAGUUCCGACCCGCACGAAAGGCGUAAUGAUUUGAGCACUGUC
rnacentral:rRNA from 1 species